CUUCAGCGAGCCCAGCCGGACCGGCCGGUCCGCCGGCCGGUCCUGCCCGUACGUGGCGAGCAGCGCGCCGGCCUC
rfam:Micromonospora echinospora strain DSM 43816 genome assembly, chromosome: I